rnacentral:rRNA from 1 species
ACACGACUACAUUAGAUACCCCUGUAGUCCAGGGUGUAAACGCUGCGGGCUUGGUGUUGGGGGGUCCUUAGUGGGCGCCCAGUGCCGGAGCGAAGUUGUUAAGCCUGCUGCUUGGGGAGUAUGUCCGCAAGGAUGAAACUUAAAGGAAUUGGCGGGGGAGCACCGCAACGGGAGGAGCGUGCGGUUCAAUUGGAUUCAACGCCGAAAAACUCACCAGGAGCGACGGAUAUAUGAAGGUCAAGCUGAUGACUUUACCUGAUUUUCCG